AUCAGCCUUUUGGGCAUGAUUCUGUGGAGCGUGAGGAGUUAAACGCCUUCAUGCCUGCAUAUUCGUGUACAUUGGGUGUACUUGCCUGUGUGGUUAGUUAACAUCAAUUUUGGUUAUCAUAAAAUGGUUGGAGGAAUGUAGCUUCGAUUUCGAUUGAAGUGUUAUAGCCUUCGGCAGAUGUGAUGAUCGGGAUUGAGGAUUGCAACGGAUACCCUUCGGGGCUACCUGUCUGGUCUCUGAUCGUUGCUUUGGUGCCGAAAGCGUGCUUACGGUUAUCAAAGUCGAUGGUCAAUAGGUUAGAACGGGUUAAAUUCGUUAAGGAUGUUGACGUAAUGGCUUU
rnacentral:rRNA from 1 species